UACGGGGGGGUAAGCGUUGUUCGGAAUUACUGGGCGUAAAGGGCUCGUAGGCGGCCAACUAAGUCAGACGUGAAAUCCCUCAGCUUAACUGGGGAACUGCGUCUGAUACUGGAUGGCUUGGAUCCGGGAGAGGGAUGCGGAAUUCCAGGUGUAGCGGUGAAAUGCGUAGAUAUCUGGAGGAACACCGGUGGCGAAGGCGGCAUCCUGGACCGGUAUUGACGCUGAGGAGCGAAAGCCAGGGGAGCAAACGGG
rnacentral:rRNA from 1 species